rnacentral:lncRNA from 1 species
UUUGCUCACUUUGGUUCUCUGAUUUCUUCUUCAUCUUUGUUUGAUUUCAUACAAUCUAACAUGAUAGCAGAUCAUUAUAAUGAAAGAUCUGGUGUAAUCUUUGAAUUUUAGUACCUUAAUUUCCUUGUCCGUUCCUAUUUUAAGAAAGUUGGAAAAACCUAAUUUCUUAUUCUUUGAUUUUUUUGUUCUUUGGAGAUUCUGGCACAAAAUUUUUAAAGUUUUAUGAUGAAUUCGGUGUUUUUGAAGUCUAUUAUGGAUGAAGUUUGUGAUUUAGCGGGUAUUUUUAAUCAAUCUGUGGAUUAAAGUAGUGGUUGCUCGGUGGUACUUGACGGCAACAAGCUCAUUUUUGCCGAUUUAUAAGUUUUCUCUUUGAUUAUGUGUUUCGAAGGAUUAUCCUGCUUUUUGGUAACCUUUUUCGCUUCGGC